UGUUGAUAUUGUACUAUUUAAGAUAAGAAGAUGUGGUAUGAUUGACAAUGAGAUGUUCAAAUGAAGCGAGUUUCAGCAAUUUAGGUCCACCUACACCUAUAACAAUGAACAAAAUCUGUACCGUAAAGUCAACUAUAUAAACCCCGAUAUGACAAAAUAUAAAAUAAUUUAAACGAAAAAUAAAAUGCCCUACUUAUAACACCAAUAUAAUCGAAAAUUGAAGACCGAAAGCAACUAUCGUCGACCACUAGAUAAAAAGCAUAAAAUUUGGGACAGGCAAAUAUACAAUUGGAGGGGUACAAAAACUUUGUGGGCGUUUAACCCUUCCAUAAACUGGCACAGCACACUAUACGAUCAGACUGUAAAAUAUCAGAUGGGAAGGCUUGACUUAUCAGAUCGACACGAAAAAUAAAAGAAAAAACAGAAAGACGAAAAACAC
rnacentral:lncRNA from 1 species